UUUGUUCACCAGAUUCUUUUUGAUUGGCUUUUUAGUAGAACUGACUUUGUUUUCCUCCUCUGCAGGAAAACAUCACUCAGUUUCCUGAUGAAUUGGCGCUGCUGUGGAAGAUGUGUUCAGGCGUUUUGAUCCGAGGCAGCAGGACGCCACGAGUGAUCGGACACAUCUCUGGACAGUGAAGAAGAAGAAGACUGAUCUCCAUAUGGAAAGGAUGGCCGGUCGGUGCAGAUGCUUUAACCUCCUGACAUGUUUACCACACUUCAGUUGAUCAUUUGGUAACUCCGAGGAUAUUUUACAGGAACGUUUAAGAGAGGCGAAGCCGUCUGCUGAUUUACAUCUGCUCCAGAAUUCUUUAACCUGAGCACGCUCGGAGGAUGGAGACUUGUCAAGAUGACUUGCUCCAGCAGCUUAGAAAACUUUCUCUGUCUGAACAAGAAGCAAAAAUGAAGGUGGAGGAGCGUGAAGCUCAGAUACAGGAGCUACAGGACACGAUCACAGAGCUCCACCAGGAGAUGUCCCUGAAAGACCAGGACAAACUCGGGCAGCUCCAGCAGCUUGUCCAGCUCGAAACCAGGGUCAAGGAGCUCACGCAGGAGUUACAGAGCUCGGCACAGACCAUCGCUCAGCUCAGACACGAGGCCAGAGACGGCGCUGGGAGCAACAGUGUGUUACACAGAGAUGUGUCCGGCGAUCAAACCGCAGCGAGAGGACUAGAACUCUUGAAGAGUGAGUUGACGCAUCGUGACGCGAGCAUCCAGAAGCUCCAGCGAGACCUGCUCCUGUCUCAUCAGGCCCGCGAUUCCCAGAGCGCUCAGCUGGACGUCCAGGAGCAGAGGCUGUGGGAGCUGCAGAGGGAGCUGCAGGAGAAGCAGCAGGAGCUGUGGAGAGGACACGACCGCCUCCAGCAGCUCAGCACCGAGCUCCAGAGCACGACGAGGAACGCUCAAGAGCUGCAGGGUCAGGUUGAGAAGCUCAGUGCUGAGCUGUCCUCCAUACAGAGAGGAAGUGAAGAACAACAGGAGACUCAGAGGAAGUUCAGGGAGCUUCAGGCAGAGCUCUCGGCCACUCGGGCCCGGCUCAGCGACUGCCAGGACGGGAAACGGGAGGCCCUGAAGAGGGCAGACGAACAGAUCCAGCAGCUGCAGGAGGAGGUGUCCAGGCUGAAGCUGCAGCACCAAUGCGUCAGUCAGCAACAGCAGGAGCGCAGCGCGGAGCUGCGGAGUCUCCAGAAGGCCCACGCCGAGCUGCAGGUCCGAGACGACGAGUGCCGGAGAGAGCUGAGCCGAAUCAGAGACGAGCUACACAACGCCACCCUGAGGGUAGAAGAGCAGCGUCUGAAAGAGGUCCAGAUUGAUGAGCUCCAGCGAGAGGUUGACAGGAUGCUGGCACUGCUGGAGAAAGACAGAGAGGACGGCGGUCAGGAGGAGGAGGCGGAGAGACUGAAGGACGAACAGCGGCGUCUCAAGGACAAGCUCGACGAGCGCGAGGACAGCGUAGCCGCUCUGAGCCUGGAGGCGGAGUUUCUGAGACGGAAAGCGCGUGCCAGCGAAGAGGAGGCGGCCGAGCUGUGCCGGCAGCUCAUCGCCUCCCAGGAUGCACUGCAGCGGGUGACUGGUGAGCUCAGGAGCUGCCAGAGAGAGCUCCGAGAACGGGAGGCUCAGAGAGGAGAAGAGGAAGAGAGAGGGGUGGAGCUCAAGGCUGAACUGAAUCAGCUGCAGCACCAGUACACCACCUGCUACUCACAGCUGGUGGAGGACGAAGCGUUGGUGUCCAGGUUGAGGACUGAGCUACAGCAGGCUGAAGGACAGAGGGACACACUGGUGUCUCAGCUGCAAGAGCAGCAUCAUCAGCUCCAUCUGCUCACAGAGAAACACCGCACAGCUCAGAAGGAGGUGGCCUGCAGAGAUGAUGCGGUGCUGAAGUUAACGGCCGAGCUGAGCGCUGUUCAGGAACAUCUGACCUCUACGCACAAUGAGCUCGCAGGCCAGGUUCAGGAGGUGAACUCUAAAGCUGAGGAGGUCACGACCUUGGAGGAGGAAGUGCGAAGCUUACAGAAGCUCCUGAAUCAGAGGGACGAGACGCUCGAGGAGGAAAAAGGCAGAAACGUCCAGCUUCAGGUCGAGAAAGAAAAUCUUCACGCGCGGUGCGAGAGCCAGCGGGAGGCGCUGUGCGAACUCCGUGCCGAGGUACAGAAGUGGCAGCAGGAGGCGCAGGGCCAAAGGGAGAGCAAGGAGAAGGAGGUGCAGGCGCUGAGGAGUGAGCUGCGGGAGGAGCAGAGUCGCCUCCACCAGCACAGAUCCAGUCUGGAGCGCCUGCACAGAGAGCUGGAGUCGACGCAGAGACAGCAGAGAGACGCCAAGGACGAGGUCUGCCGUAAGGAAGCAGCUCUGCGCUCUCAGGACUCGGAGAUGACUCGGGUGAAGGCGGAGCUACUCGAGGCUCGAAGAUCGGCGUCGGACGCCGAGGCCCGGCUACAGCCGCUCGGCGAGUCCGUGCAGCUUUACAAGCAGAAAUACCAGACCUGUGUGAGCAAGAUCGCAGAGCUGGAGAGCACGCUGCAGAGCCACGAGGAGGACCGGAGGCAGAGCAGAGCCCAGGUGGUUGAGCGGGAGGAGCAGGUGGCGCGUCUGCAGGCGGAGAUCGUGGCUCUACGGGGCGACGUGGAGGCGCGCUGUGCUCAGCUGGAGAGCGGAGACGAGGCCCUGACCGCUCUGAGCCGGCGGCUGAGAGACGCGCAGAGGGAGCUGGAGCUAAGCCACGCCCACGCGCAGGAGUGUGAGCUGGUCAUCGACGCACUCCGAGACAACAUGGCCGCCCUGCGCAGUCAGGUGGAAGAGAAGGACGAGGCGGCGCUGAAGCUCCAGUCUGAUUUCUCUCUCUACAGAGCGACUCACACGCGCUCCGAGUCAGACUGCGAAUCCCUCGUUUGUCGCGUCCGCGAACUGGAACAGGCGUUGUCCCAGGCCCUGGAGCGCUCUGGAACCUGUCACUCAGAGCUGGAGAAGCUGAAAGAGGAAGCCCAGGCGCAGAAGCGGCUCAGAGAUGGCAGCCUGGCGGAGGUGCGAAGGCUGCAGGAGUUGAUGAGGAAGCUCCAGGCUGAUGCUGUGUGUGAGGCUCAGAGCAGACAGGCUGACGUGGACGCUCUGGAGCUCAGAGUCAACGAACUGGAGGAACAACUCGAGGCGGCUCGUAGGCAUUGUGUACAGAAGGAGCAGGCCGUGCAGAAAAGAGACGCGCUCCUGAGGCAGUCGGAGGCAGACCUGGUCCAGGCGCGAGAUAAGAUCCGAGGCAAGGCGGCGGAGGCAGAGAGGCACGCCGCCACCAUUCAGGCUCUACAGGCAGACCUCCGGCAAGCCAAGAAAGAGAAGCGAGAGAGGGAGAACGAGUGCGGCAAGCUCCGCACGCAGCUGCUGCAGAUCCGCGACGAUCUGAAGGAGGCCCGGGGCAGCUGCAGAGACAGCGCUCAGGAACUGGCUCGUCACGAGGAGAAGGUGCUACUGCUGGAGGGCGGGCAUCAGCGAGCGCAGGAGCAGCUGGCGGAGCGAGUAGCCGAGGUGGUCCGGGCUGAGCAGAUCCAGAGGAGACUUCAUGCCGACCUCAGGAGAGUCCAACAAAGACUGGAAUCCAGCGAGCAGGAGCUCCACGACUGCAGGACUCAGGUGGAACAGGUGAAACUGGAGGCCAGCAGCAGCAGGCAGGCUCAGCUCAGCACCCAGCACGAGGCUUUACGGCUGCAGCAGGAGAACCAGGAGCUCCAGGACGAGCUGAGCAGCACCAAAGAGACCGUUACACACAUGCAGGAGCAGCUGAGGGAACAGUCAGUGAUGGCUCAGGCUCUGCGUGUGGAGCUGGCACAGGAGCAGGCCCGGCAGCAGGAACAGCUGGAUUGGGUACAGAGGACACGUCAGAGAGAGGACAGCCUGGAGGCUGAGAGAGAUCAGCUCAGAACUGACCUAGAAACAGUCAGAAACCAGCUGCAGGAGCGGGUGUGUGAGCUACACAGCGCCACCCUCAGGCUGCAGGAGGAAGAGGCGGACAAGCGGACGCAGCUGCAGGAGAGAGACGCUCGCAUCCAGACUUUCAGCCAAGAGCAGGCUGAGCGUAGUCAGGAGAUGACACGCUUGCAGCAGCGGCUGAUCCAGCGGGAAGAGAGAAACACAGAGCUGAGUACAGAGCUGCAGCAGCUGCGCAGUCAGAGCCGCCUCUCUCAGGACGAGACUCGGGCGUUUGAGGGGCGUCUGGCGGAGUUAAACGGCCAGCUGGCGCGCUCUCAGCUCUGGGGUCAGCAGCAGCUCGUCACCCUGCAGUCCAGAGAGGAAGAACUGGUGCUCCUGAAGGUGGAGGUAGCCUCCCUCAGAGAGAACUACCGCUCCAAAGUAGCUCAGUUGGACACGUUACACACUGAGCUGGACUCUUUAGAACAGAAGUACAGGGCCGCUGUGAGUGAGGUGGAGGUGUUGAGGCAGGCGUUGGGCGACGCCCGUACUGAUAGUUCCCGUCUGCACCGAGAGAGCGAGCUGGUGGUCACCAACGUCAACCAGUGGGUCAAAGAGCAAAAGCAGGCCAACGAGAAGCUCGGCCUCAAGAUCAGAGACCAGAGCAAGAAGAUCAUCCACCUCACAGCUGAAAAAGAUCAUCUGCAGGAGAACUUGGAGAAGCUGCAGGCGGAGAUCCGGUGGCUGAGGGCGGAGCUCGAUGAGCAAAGAAUGGAGGCAGAGAGAUGCAAGGCGUUUCAGACCCAGAGCGUGAGUGAGCCGCUGCACAGCCGUCAGCCUCCUGCACUUCUGUGCUACAGAGAGCUCAUUACACCCGAGGAAGCUGAUGAUCUCCGCUGUGACAUUUGACUGUUUGCACUUGUGUCCAGCAGUGACGUGGCCUCAGGGGCUACACGAGAUCCAGAGAGCUGCAGGGAGGUAAAGAGGCAGGGCAGGCUAGCAGACAAACCAAACCAUGCUGGAAGGAUCGGGAAUCUUCAGCCCUCCGCGGGAGAACGUGAGCAGGAAGAAGCCUCUGGCGGUGCGGCCGGAGCGGAGCUGAGGUGCGUGUGCAGAGCCACGCCCGGAUCCAGUUUCGCCGCUGAAGUGGCCCGGCGAGUCGCUCGAAGGGCACUGGAGAGAAGAGCCCUGCGCAGGGCACACGGCUGGGAGUUUACACCACAGCGCUCACUGAAUGUACAACAUCUCAGGGCUUCUCUGUGACACUGAGACUCUUUCUAAAGUAAUACAGGAUUGAUGGAGAAAAGAUCUGAAUAGAACUGAUGGAGAAUUGGGUUUGUUUAUACCUCUGUUUAUUUUAUAAACCUGUUAAACUUGAAUAAUAUCAUGAUGCGUUAUGAUAGAUGAUAUAAGAUAAUGGCGUUUUUUCUUUAGCGGCGAAAAAACGAGCGUGGUUUUCAUUCUUCAGAACGGCAGGCGCCCGAGUGUCAGUGUGUGUUAAUCAUCUCCAAACUUGUUUUGCUCUGAGGUAAGUGAAGACAUGAGCCGUUAUUGCAGCUUUCUGCGUGUUUGUUCACUGCGGUGAUAUUUAAUGUAAUUUUUUUUUUUGACGUUUGUCAUAAAAUUUUCUCGGAGGCUUCGAGAUGAAAACUUUUCAAACCUGGAGGGAUUUGAAAACCUUUAGGGAAGGAUUUUUCUUUUUUAUUUUUAAACACAUCUAGUGUCUGUUUUUACGUCUGAUCUUUUUUUUGUUUGUUUCUUUGAACAUAAAUCCGACAGUUUGUGUGAAGUUACCGGUGUUUCGUGUGACAUUUUGUUUGUUCACGUAACUGUAGUGUGUAAAGCGUGUCAUAUUUGUGACGAAUCAUGUGUCGAUCGUUUAUAUUUACAUUAACGUCACGUCACGCUCGAGCUCGAGCCGGGACUGCCCCGUAGGCUCGGGGCCUGGGCGAGGCGUAACCACGUGAUCUCCGAGACGUCAUCUCAGCACGAAGACACCGUCCUGCUUUUUUUUUUUUUGCUCUGGCAAAAUCAAUAAACAACAUUCUCUCUCACCCAGCACUCAAUACACAACACUUAAGGUGUCUCUGAAAAGUAAAGAACGCCAAUAAUUGUUAUUAAUGCCCUGAAAUUUCCCAGAGCGCAGCGUUUAAGGCUAAUUCUGUCAUUCUGGGUUACUGUCAAUCCUGUACACUUACUGCGACUUUAAAUGCUACUUCCAAUAAUCAUCAUAACUAUUAUUAUUUAUUAUUAUUGUUAUAACGCAUCCAUCUUGAAUCUGAUGGCGAGUGACAUAUUACGACGUUAUCCCAUUAGUCAUGAGAAUAAAACACUUCAGGAUGUGCUUUUAUAGGAAACUAAUCAACAAUCAGGUUCGUUAUUUUCCUGGAAUAGUUUUCCCCCUGAAGUGUUUUAUUCCUCUUAUACCGCAGCACUUUGCCAGCGAUGACAUCUUUCGAUUAAAGACACGUCGUACGUUUUGUGCGUUUAUAGUUCAACGUGCGUUAAAGUUCCCUGAAACGACUUGGUUCCUGGUAAACGGCGUGUUCUCUCACCGGGCCCCUUUUUUUUAAAUUAUUAUUUAUUUAUUUUUUCAUUUUUACUCCUCCGUCCUGAAGAUGUCGGAAAACGUAGUUACAGCUUCAGCGCCGACGCUGGAGAACUCCUUACAGAUCGACGGAUACGCACAUCCUUUGAUGCGUCUCUAUACAGCGUCCACCGUACAGUUCCCUGCGAAUGAGCCGUUACUGUGUGGAGUUACGUUUGUGCCAAAAGCGUUGGACGUAAAAUAUAGAAAGAAGAGAAAAAAACACUGAAACUGAAAACGCUGAAAUCCGUGGAGACAACGUAACACGGUCUUCAAAUAAACCGGACCUGGAAGUAGACACUUCAAUGGCGUGGAUUUCGGAAGAGCGUUCUGGAUGCGUUUGUACUCUGUAUUGGAAAUCGCUUACUUACUCAGCUAGUAUAUUAUCUUGCAAUUAAUAUUUCUCCAUCGGAAUCUCACUAGCCAAUGAGAGUGAAUCACUGUUAAGCCCCGCCUACACAAACGAAAAAUUUUUUAAAAAGCGUGUCGCAGCGUGUUCAUAAACCACGAUUAGCAAAAAGGAAGCUGUUAACGAAGAACGCUGCUUAUUCGAAGACCAUGCCACGUUUUUGCCACCGAGUUCAUUGUUUUUCUUGGAAAAAAAACAAAAAACGUUACAUUCAAUACUUUUGGGCACAAAUUUAAUUCCAUAAACAAGCACGAAACCAGGAGUUCAGCGGUGCUGUGGUAUAAAUGAAAAUAAUGGUCAGUGCUUUAUGAGGUGAUGAACAAACUGAGAUUCUUAUAGGAGAUAAUCCGGUCCGAGUGAAUGAGCUGAGGGAUAGAGGUGGUGCGCUGGUGAUUUGGGGAUUGAUCACUACCCUUAACCAGGUAAUCUAGUAGUAUGAGAAUGUUUCACGUUUGUGGCCUUUCGCUUCUAGGAAUGUCUUUGCUCAUAAAUGUAUGUGUGUGUGUUUUUUAAAAUAAUUAUUAUUA